GGGCCGAGGCGCUACGACUAUCUGGAUUCUAAGAAAGGGAUCUCAAACUGAAGCCAAGCAGAGGGUGUUUGGAAGAGAUGGAGUCCUUGGGGAAGAUGGUGAAAAAUCUAUGAAAACUGAGACUUUUUAAAUGCAAGGCUAAGCACAGAGCCAGUGCUGAUAACAUCAGGCAGCCUCCCGAACUACUUCCUGGAGAGAGGCCCAGAGACAGCUCCAUGGCUCCCUGCACACCUUCUGAAGAGGUUAGGGCAGGAAGGAAUUGUUGCAAUCAGAAACAGAGACGCAAGUGUGUAUUCUCAAGAUCAAAGAAUGAAGAGGGAUGCUGCUCCCCUUUUCUUCUCCAUCCACCAUGAACUAACCAUCUUUGCUGUGCUACACCAUUCUGCCAUGAUGUUUCUGCUCUGGAGCAGCUGACCAUGGACUGAAU